AUGGAAGAGAAGAGCAACAAGGACGAAUUGAGACAGAGCAGAGCAGAGCAGAAGAAGCGGAUUGGGGUUGUGCGUACGUGAAAAAUCUCUCUUUCCUCGACAGAGACUAGACGAGAACGAUAGUGUUGAUUUGAAAUGCUUGAUAGAGUAUUUUCUAAAGGGAGUAAACAAUUGGGGUGGUGGCGCAGUUGGCUAGCGCGUAGGUCUCAUAGCUAUCUGAGUAAUCCUGAGGUCGAGAGUUCGAGCCUCUCUCACCCCACAAUAUUUU
rnacentral:tRNA from 1 species